UACAGAGGGGGCAAGCGUUGUUCGGAAUUACCGGGCGUAAAGGGCGCGUAGGCGGCCUGUUAAGUCAGACGUGAAAUCCCUCGGCUCAACCGGGGAACUGCGUCUGAUACUGGCGGGCUUGAAUUCGGGAGAGGGAUGUGGAAUUCCAGGUGUAGCGGUGAAAUGCGUAGAUAUCAGGAGGAAUACCGGUGGUGUAGACGGCUCUCUGGACCGCAACUGACGCUGAGACACGAAAGCGUGGGUAGCAAACAGG
rnacentral:rRNA from 1 species